GGACCAGCCUGCUGUGUGACGACACGUUGUCCUUGCACCCAUCCGGCACCAGAGCCCGGCUUCUCCAUCUGGGUCCCCAUCACUGGAACAUCACCAUUGAACCUACCUCCACAUGGCAGAAUAAGAGCCCCUACCUAGGGCAGUGCCUGCAGAGGCAAGUGGAUCAUCUCGCUCUGGAAGAGACUCCACAGAGAACUGUUUGUUACAUGUGCAGGAGCCUCCAACUGCUGCCCUGCAUCAGGGCAAAGGAGCCACAGCUGGGCAAGAACUCAACCGAGGAAGUGGGCAUAUCUGCCUACGGCAUGCUCCUGCCCAGAGCAGGCACCCUCCUGCUGCACAGAAAGUCCUUCUGCCUAAAAACCAUGGCCUACUUAUGGCGAACUAGACUCAAGUGUCAAAGAGGCGCUUCCAGAAGACAGUGCUCACCUGUGCUAAGCGUGGAGCGGACAAUGGGGAAUCACUGCUGUGAGCGCCUGGAGUUCAUUGCUGUUGCUUUGUGUGGAUGAAGAUCGAAGGUGUCAGCAUACAGGGCACCAGGAGAGAAGCAGGCGUCACCGCAGAGGGAUGGCAGGGUGUGGUGAGCCCCUCUCCCUGGCUGUGGAGACGUGUACUUAGAUCAAUGAC
rnacentral:lncRNA from 1 species